ACCUGCAUUGCAUGCUGGGAACUCCAGCUGCAAUCAUCCAUCUCGUGCUACCCCACCCCCAUCACUCUUCUGCUACACACACCACCCCUGUCCCCAGCAGCAUCCUUGGAGGAUCACGAAAGGGUGUGUGUGUGCACGACUGCGUGUGUGUGAGUGUGUGUUCACUCACACAGUGUGUCUGCUGUGUGUGUGUGUGUGUAAGCAGAACAAGAAGGGGGGCGGGGUAUCAGGGUGGUGGUGAUGUCAUUUUGAGUCCCCUCUCCUCCAGUAGCAGGGUAUGCAGAGAGAGGAGGAGGAGAAGAGAGCCGGUACAGAGACAAGGAUGGAGGGAGGCAUCGAGGAGGUCGCAGAGAAAGACGUGUUCUCAAAAGACAGGAACAGGACCUCAGAAAAAACUCUGGAUGUCUUCUAAGAGGCUCUCCCUCCACGGUCAUUCUUGCUGGACGCUCCAUUGACACUGCAGGACUGUUCCUGGGCACCCAACACACAGGAGAGGGGGACACGGCACUCUGAGGGCACCUACAGUCCAGCUACGGGCUGGAUGACUCACUCUCAUCACCCAGUCCCCACCCAACUACUACUGCAACAGUGAGAGCUUGGAUGUGGUGGACGCCGAUUUUCUGCACAUGGGACAGAGCUGUUUUCCUUACCUGUCGUGGAUGGUGCGUGUGUGGCAGUGGAUGUGGAUGUGUGUGAACAUUUAAACACUCAUAGCAUUACCAGAGAGAGUAAAAGAGGGAGGUUACAGAGAGAGAGAGAGAGAGAGAGAGAGGGGAGCAGAGAGAGAAGAGAGGGCGUGAGAGAUAUUUGAUCCACAGAAGACUGGAGAAGAUGUGGUGGAGGAGGGGAUGUUUUCGUGGCAGCACCGCUGGUGGGGAUAAGCUCUUGUAAAUAUUUACCUCGCGCGCUCCGGGAGCGGUGCCACUGAACCCGUGAACUCUGAACUCCCGCCAACCUUCUCCCCCUGGGCAGCCUCAGGCGCUGCACCCAAGCGAGGCGGCUACCUGUUGCGUUGGAGACGCACACAAAGCAAGUCUGCCUGGCUAGCCGCCUACCUUCCUGAGUGACUGAUGCCUCUGAUGCCCCUUUCAUCGUCCCACUCGCUCACUCUCACUCCUCUUCACUGCCUCCCCAUUCAGUCACCCGUCUGUGUGUGAAACCCCAGGGCAAAAAGCCAUGAUGUCAGGAGAGGUCUAGUCCCCACUGGUCAGACAGAAGACAAGUCAUACUAUCACCUUACACCAGUCACUCAGACUUUCCCAGACUUUCACCAGUGUGUGUGUGUGUGUGUGUGUGUGUGUGUGUGUAAUGUCUGAGCGCGUGUCACCGUCAGAUCAUCAAGGUGUUUAUGGCUCAGUGCCGAAGGUGAAUCAGUGGGGAUGUGGCAGUGGUUGAAUGUGUAAAGACUGACAGUUUUUUUUCUGCUGCGGUAACAGAUGCCAUUCUCGCCAAUGUGCCCUGAAACACCAGAUAUCCACAUAAAAGAUGUCUGUGAGUGCUUAUCUACUGCUAUCAGAAGUCACACCAGAGGCUGUUUCAUUUUCUACAGCAAACAGGAGCAUUUGUGUGGAAGGGAUCUGAUGUGUGUUUAAGACUGCAUAUCGAGAAGAUCAGUAUAUGUGUGUGCCUGCGGGUGUGCAUGUCAGUUUGUCCAGUUGUCCAGUUUGUGUGAUCGACACCAUGGGCUGUGCCAUCUGCACUCAGCUGGUGAACGCGUGGAGCGGGUUCACAUGGAAGGGAGGUCGGAGCGUCAGGCAGGCCUGUCCAGAGGUGCCCUCGCAGGAGUACCACCGGCUGUCCGGCCUCCAUUACACCUCCUCCUUCUCCGACGCUGAGGACUGCUGCGAUGACCUCUCCUCCCUCAGCACCUCCUCGUCCUCCGAUUACCUAGAAACUGAAUACUUGGACGAUUUGGAGGCAUGACAUACCCGCGUCUGAGAGGAUGCCGGGUUUUUAUUACUAUUAAUAUACUGCACCAAAGCUUUCCUUGAUUCAGUUGCUUGUCAUUUGCAUCUUUAUGCACCUCACUUGAUUAAAUGCUGAUGAUGAAGAUUG